UAGAAACCACGUACCACUUCAUAUUGCAAACAGACUAUCUUACAGAUUUCUAUCAUCCUUCUCUUUUAAACAUUGGCUUUGUUCUUCACUCUUCUCAUAGUUUCUCUAUAAUUUGUUUUGGUAAUUUAUCUCCUCUUUCUCCAUUUUACUUUUUCUAUGAAAAUUAAUUUUUCUAUUUGGAAUCUCAAAUUUCACCUCUUCUUCCUUGAUUGUUCGGCCUUCUAAUUGUGUGCUAUUUUUGCUGAUGUAUCUCUUCCCUAAUUUUUUGUUGUUUUAGUGCACUUUCUUUGAUUUUAAUCAUUAUGACAACUUUUAAAUCGUCUCUUAUUAGAUUUUAUAUGUACUUAUUAACAAUUUUUUUCUAAUUUAUUCAUGCAUGUCUGGAUUCUAUCUCAAAGUCUCUUUUAUAAAUUUACUUUUUCGUUUGUGCUGUUAAAAUCUAUGUAACUAGAUGUGCCUCCGGUUAUUUUUUUUUUAAUUCUAACAAGUAUUGUGUAGUUGCAACAACUAAUUCAAUUUAAGUGACACACUUAAGGUGUUUGAUAGUAUGCCUAAACUAACUAAAUUUUUUUUUUUUUACAGAUUUUCUACUAUGUAUUCAUUUCUACGUGAAUGAUCCAAAAGGUUGGUGCUUUGUUUCUACUAGAUGUCUGUUGUUUAUAUAUAUUUUAUUUAUGUAUCCCAAGAAAUGGUUUGUCCUUUGUUUGCAUCUAUUUCAAUUGCAAGUUGUUGCUAUUAGUUAAACUCUGUGUUAGCGAAAAAAUUUAGAUAUAAUGUACAGUUUUUUCAGCACUCUAUUAAACUAUAAAUAUUAUUUUUAUCAAGAUAAAAUAUUUCUCGAAGUAAGAAUGUCAACAUAUGAGGGCAAUACAUAGAUUUUAAAAGACCAAGGACAUCGGCUAGAUGAUAGAGUUAUGAACUACUUUUACCUUUUUUUGGUUAAAGGUAAAGCAUGAAGAAGUUGUACAUGCAUAAAUUUAGAUAUAAUGUACAGUUUUUUCAGCACUCCAUUAAACUGUAAAUAUUAUUUUUAUCAAGAUAAAAUAUUUCUCGAAAUAAGAAUGUCAACAUAUAAGGGCAAUACAUAGAUUUUAAAAGACCAAGGACAUCGGCUAGAUGAUAGAGUUAUGAACUAUUUUUUCCUUUUUUUGGUUAAAGGUAAAGCAUGAAGAAGUUGUACAUGCAUAUGUGGUGUUCCGUGAAAGUUUUGAAUAAGCUUUUCCUUGUUUUUUGGACAAAAAAUUUCUACUUCAUUAGUCAAUAAAUCAAUAAGUAUGUUACUAUGGACAACUUCAAUCUCUUGUUAUCAUUUAUAUUUAGAAAUAUGUUUCAAAUGUAUAAUAUACUUCUCUUUAUAUAGUGAGGUGCUUUCUUUCUUAAAUUUUUUCCACUCAAAUUUUAUUGGGGUGCUUAAAUUUGAUAAUAAUCGUCAUCCUCUUAAACGAAAACUUCUUAGAGGACUAAAUGAAGGAUGGAUUGAAGUACUCCAUCAUAUCUAUUUGAUCUCUCUUAACUUUGAUGGUUGAAUAGGUGUAUAAUGUGAUUUCAAGAAUCUUCUUUCUCAAAUUCGUAGUAGGAUUCAUGUAUGUUGUCUUCAAAUGGAUGUUGUGAGUCGUAUAUUAGUACACAAAGGUGUUUUUCCGAGUUAACCCUCAAAUCUGAGUAAAUAUUGUUUGGAGAUGGUUAGCCCUUAACUCUAAAAUGUUAACUCUAUUUGUCUUUUCUAGACAUAUGGUUGCUUACAUUCAUUUUGUUCCUUCAUGCUUCAAUGACAAUUAACAUAGACAUUUGUACUUCCUUUUGCUCCUGUAUUUCUUUUAUCAUUAGUGUUGAACUACAACUCUUCAUUUGAUAAGAUAUUCAUUUGGUUAUAGAAGGUUCAAGCUCAAACUUAGUAAAAUGUGUAGUACAUGUUUCAUGUCGAACAUGGUCUUUUUUAUGGUCUUACCAACAAGUGAAUGAAUACCUCAAUUUGGGAUUAUAGGAAGUCAAAAUGUACAGCUGAUUUCUUUUCCUAAUCAACCGAAAUAAGUAUUUGAGAGAAACUAUUGCAAGCUGUUGUUGAAACAUUGCUAUUGUGCCGACACUUUUAGUUUCAGGAUAACUUUCUCAAUGGCGAAAUCAGGCCUCAACUUAAUAUUUGACAUGUUUCCAUUAAAGAUGUCAAUCUGAUCCUUAUUUGAGCUAUCCUGAAGAUUCAACAUCAUUGCAUAUUUCUCAACAAAAGUUGUCUACAUCUAUGUUAAAUUUUAAUUAUUUGGAGUUUGGAUACUGUUUGAAAAAUUAGAGUUUCAUCUCUGCAGCUGCAGAUUUGAAUAAGUUUGUCCUAGGAAAGAGGCAAAAGUUAUACUGAAAGAAGUUGAAGGCAAAAGCUUCUAAUUUUUGUAUAAAGCAGACUGCUCGGAAGGAAUGGCUAUAUUGAUUCUUUUCAUCAUGACCACGAGGAUCACGUAGAACAACCUGUUUUGGUAAGCCUACAAAUCCAGACCCAGAUCAUCGUUAGUUUUAUUGCUUUCUGAAUCAUAGUAGUUUCAAGCUUAAUGAGCUUGAUUUUUUGAUAAAGUAGAAAUCCUCCUUGUUCAUUUUCCAUUACUGGGAGUUUCUGAUCUGAGAAUCUGCUAUCUUUUAAACUACUGGUGUGAGGAUUACUUUUGUAGUUUUUCAUUGAUCGGUUUUUGUUACUAUCUUAUUUCUUCUACUUUGAUCAUAGUGUUAUAUUGUUGUAGAUACUGUUCAACAUGCCUUGUUAUGCUUUCACAUAAAUUACUUCUUUUAUCGGAUUGCUUUGAUUUGUUUUUCGUUGAACCGACUGUCUAUCAGAGAGGGACUCGAAUUUGUGGGACUACAUUAUCUUCUUGUUGUUGUAUGUUUGUUUCAUGAAUUGUUUUAGGAUUUUCACAAUACUGGUUGGUAGAUACUAGGAUUUUCACAAUACUGGUUGGUAGAUAUAUAUCUCCUUAUUUAGAAAUGAGAAUUAAAAAGGACAAACACUAUAUCUUCUAAUUGUACUAAAGGUAGUACAGAUUGUAUAGUAAAUUUUGCUCUUUUUCAUUGAUGAACAAAUAUUUGUCUCAUUUUGCUUGACUUUGUGUACAACUUUUGCACUAUUUUUUACAAUUCUCUAUAGAUUUUUGCUAAGCUUGGUUUAUUUUCUCAACUCUUUUUUUGUAGAUCUCAACUCUUCAAUGGUGAAUCUAUGUGUUGCUAAGUUUCUUCUCUUUGUGUAGAAACUAAAUCUCUCUGCCUCAAGAUUUUUGUUUGUUUAGGAUGCCUUAUCGAUGUUUUCUCAUGAUUUAAGGUAAAUUUACAUGUUUUUCAAUUUGCCUAAUUGACCUAUUUUCUCUUCAAGGUCAAAUCUCUGAUUUUAAUAUUCAAAGGGCUAUUUCGGGUCCUUGUACUUUUUGUACUAUGCUUCAAUACAAAAAUACAAGGGUAGACAAAUUAUGGUUUGUUUCACAUUAAACAUGUUAGCACACAAUAAAGUUUUGACCUUUCUAGCUCAUAUUUCGAAAAGUAAAAGGCUGAAGAACAAUGUUUCUUUUCUCUGUAUGUAGUACGCAACUCAUAAAAUAUAUUUAGUGAAUGAUUUCCUCGGAGAAAAUAUGUUUUGUUGAUGUUCUUUCAAAGAUGUUUGCUCAUAAUAAUGCCCCCUUUCUUUAUUUGUGAAGAGAAAACAUUUUGAUACUUCUUAACAAUGUCUAGCUUGCACCUACUAUGAUGUCAAUGUAAGCGACAUAAUAUGAGAUGUGCAAAGGAGCAUAUGUUAGCCCUGCAUAUUACUAUAUACUAUUAAAUUAGUAACAAUAGUAGGAUAAAUAUUGUGUUUUUAGCAACAUUUAGGGCUGUUCUUUGAAGGAGUACUCUUUUUCCCUUUCUUUUUUACUUUGUGUGGAAGACAAUUUUAUUUAAGUGUUAGACUAAACCAUAGCCCAUAUAUAGAAAGAGUACUUACUCUAUUGGUUAUGUUAUUUUUUCAUUUAUGUUUUCAUGUAGGCAUUAUAGCAUCUGCUACUCCUUAUGGAUUUAGUUUCUUGGAGGAUUUAUGUUUGGUAUUGUUAUAAAUGUUAAACUUUGAAGUUCUUUUUUUCGGGUUCUCAGUAGAAUUUUGUUAACACACAUGGUAUGGUUUGAUUUUCUUUAGAUGUUUUAAGUAUGAAGAUGCUUCAACUCUAUUUGUUAGCCCAUUAUGCAAAUAGUCUUGUUUGACACCCCCCCCCCCCCAUAAAAAAAGGUCUAACUGCUGAGAAUACUUUUGAGACAACAAGGUCGAGGUCAAGUUGUACCAACGCUUUUCUUUUCUUUACAAGAAGCUAUUUUUGCCUGUAACCUGUUGUGGUUGUAAAAGCCUUUGAACAAUUCAUGUUUAAUGCUAUAAGGUUUUUGUGAAAACCAAACUAAUCUAACUUUCCCUAUUAUGCUUCUUGCUCCCUGUUAAUAGGGGGAACUUUGACAUAUAGUCGCUCAAAAAUAGUUUAAUUAUUUUUUAUAGCUAUAGUUUAAUAAUUAAAAUUUGUAGUUACAUGUUAUAGAGAGAAGUGAGGCGAGUGAGAGAGGACAAAGAAUGGAAGCGAGGUGAAUUGUAUAUGUAUAUAAGUUAGAUAAUAGUAUAUUCUACAUAUGUAUUUGUAUAUAUGGCAAGAGAGAUUGAGAGAGGAAGGAGAGAGGUGAGCGAGAUUGGGAGCGGGAGGAGAGAGGCAAGUGACAGAGGGCAGAGAGAUGAGUAGGUUAGAUAAUUGUAUAUUAUAUAUAUGCACUUAUAUAUAUGGCAAGCGAGAUUGGUAGAGAGAGGAGAAAGGUGAACGAGAGAGGGCAAAGAGCGGGAGAGAAAUGAAUUAUAUAUGUAUUUUGGUUAGAUAAUUGUAUAUUAUGCAUAUGUAUUUGUAUAUUCUAGCGAAUUAUACAUACACAAACGUCGCUAAUUAUACAAGGUCGAAGUCAGCCCACAUAAUUAUUGUAUAAUAUUAGUCAUGCGUGGUAAUUAUAGCAAGCUAUGACUAUGAUGCGUAAUUAAAUUGUCUAAGUUUGCUUAAUUGCGCAUUUUUCUCUGUUAAUGAAAAUGCAAAAUGUUGGGCCCGUGCUUAGCACGGGCAUCACUAUCUAGUAAAUAAUAGAGAUUACACUUUAUAAGUGUAUCCAAACAUCUCUUUAUAUAUAUAUAUAUAUCCUUUUUCAUGUUUUUUUGUCAUUUUUCCUUCAUUUAAUUUUUUUAUUUUAUUUGUAAUAUCUCAAAAAGUCUUUACAUUCAUUUCCUCAAAUUUUCACCUUUCAUUUUAAUGAUUCUUUUUAUUAGAUAUAAUAUGUAACAAUAUUAAUUCUCUUAAAGACAUAUUUUUUUCCCUACUUAAUUUUCAUAGCUUAAAGCUGCAAUUAAUGAUGAACGUAAUAUUUAAUAGAAAAAUAACAAUUCUCUAGAAAAUUGAAGGUUAAUCAAAUAAUUUUUUUAUAUUUAAGGGAUAAUAUGAGGCUCAUCAUCAUCAUUGAUCAGCAAAUGAGAAAGUGCAAAACAUCAACACCAUCAUUACUAAAAGAUAACUAUAUAAUUUCAUCAUGGUUUCUUUAAUCAAUUUGAAAGAG
rnacentral:lncRNA from 1 species